rnacentral:ncRNA from 1 species
UAAAUAGAUUGGUAAACCCAGUGAAAGCUGGGGGCACAAAGCUUCAGGUCUAAAGCAGGAUGCUAUGACAGCUGGGCCGCAACA